AAGGCAGGACCACCUAGAGCAGGUGACACAGGAACAUGUCCAGGCGGGCUUGGGAUGGCUCCAGAGAGGGAGACUCCACAACCCCUUGGGCAGCCUGUUCAGUGCUCUGCCACCCUCAGCGUAAAGAAGUUCUUCCUCAUGUUGAUGUGAAACUCCUCAUGGUUUAGUUCAUGGCCACUCUUCCUCGUCCUGCACAAUGCCAACAUUUCAUAACUGCAGUGGUUGCAGUUUUCUGGAAUGGUGGCUUCUUGCCAUCACAGACAAGGCUGCUCACUGGGGUGGGGAGGAUAAAUACUACACUAAUGUACUGAAACAAUGCAUCUGAAUGCUGAGCUCCAAGAGUAAAUUACUUCUCUUUUCCUGGUGUCUAAGCCUUUCCUCUUCAGGCAUGUUGUUUUUGCAGGGAUGUAAGCAUACAGGGCUGAGUACAAUAGGAGCGCUGUGUCAGAUAAAGAGGUUUUCCCUCUGGAAGAGCUUGCAGUUUAGGAGCACAAGCUGGAACUGCACAGGACAACACUGAAUAAACAAUGCUGAAAUGGCAUGGAUUGGUCAGCCUCAGGAGGGAAAAAAGGACAGUCUUGUCAUUUCUGUGUGAGUUUAGAAAUUACAGGGCUCCUGUAAAAGAAUCCACAGAUCUGUUUAGGGAUCUAAUUUUCCCACAUGCUGUAUAAGGAGUUUUGCUACCUUGCCAGCAGGAGCCAGCAUCCUGGAUGCAGAACCAUCUUGAAGGAAAAAUCAGGAGAACCCCAGGGAGAAGAUGAUCAUCUGUUGUAAAAAAGUCACACCUUUUCUAACAGGAACACUAGAAGCAGAAGCACUAAUCUGGAAUCAUGGCAGCAUGUUAUAAACAAGAGCAGCCAGGGGGCAACCAAUGCACAAAUCUUUGCUUCACAAAAAAACUACAGGAAAGGUACAAUUGGUAUCAACCAAGAGAAUAAAAGCUGCAUGGAAAGAAACUAGUGAUGGGUGUAAGAAAUGCUGAUGCAUUGAAGAUGUCUUUGCUCUCGUUCAUUCUCUGUGAACACUUCCUUCCACAUACUUGGCCAUCAACU